rnacentral:rRNA from 1 species
GACGAACGCUGGCGGCGUGCUUAACACAUGCAAGUCGUACGGUAAGGCCCUUUCGGGGGUCCACGAGUGGCGAACGGGUGAGUAACACGUGAGUAACCUGCCCACAACUUUGGGAUGACGCUAGGAAACUGGUGCUAAUACUGGAUAUGUGCUCCUGCUGCAUGGUGGGGGUUGGAAAGCUCCGGCGGUUGUGGAUGGACUCGCGGCCUAUCAGCUUGUUGGUGGGGUAGUGGCCUACCAAGGCGGCGACGGGUAGCCGGCCUGAGAGGGUGACCGGCCACAUUGGGACUGAGAUACGGCCCAGACUCCUACGGGAGGCAGCAGUGGGGAAUAUUGCACAAUGGGCGCAAGCCUGAUGCAGCAACGCCGCGUGCGGGAUGACGGCCUUCGGGUUGGAAACCGCUUUCAGCAGGGACGAAGCUUUUUGUGACGGUACCUGCAGAAGAAGCACCGGCUAACUACGUG